GUGGGCGUAGCUCAAUGGCAGAGCGCUUCGCUGUGGCCGAAGUGGUUGAGGGUUCGAUUCCCUUCGCUCACCCCA
rnacentral:tRNA from 1 species